rnacentral:rRNA from 1 species
GACGAACGCUGGCGGCGUGCUUAACACAUGCAAGUCGAGCGAGUUGAUUCCCUUCGGGGAUGAAGCUAGCGGCGGACGGGUGAGUAACACGUGGGCAACCUGCCUUAUAGAGGGGGAUAGCCUUCCGAAAGGAAGAUUAAUACCGCAUAACAUCAGAUUAUCGCAUGGUAGACUGAUCAAAGGAGUAAUCCGCUAUAAGAUGGGCCCGCGUCGCAUUAGCUAGUUGGUGAGGUAACGGCUCACCAAGGCGACGAUGCGUAGCCGACCUGAGAGGGUGAUCGGCCACAUGGGGACUGAGACACGGCCCAGACUCCUACGGGAGGCAGCAGUGGGGAAUAUUGCACAAUGGGGGAAACCCUGAUGCAGCAACGCCGCGUGAGUGAUGAAGGCCUUCGGGUUGUAAAGCUCUUUGAUCAGGGACGAUAAUGACGGUACCUGAGGAACAAGCCACGGCUAACUACGUGCCAGCCGCCGCAGUAAGAC